rnacentral:rRNA from 1 species
ACGCUCGACACCUACUGGAGGCAGCAGUGGGGAAUAUUGCACAAUGGGGGAAACCCUGAUGCAGCGACGCCGCGUGGAGGAAGAAGGUCUUCGGAUUGUAAACUCCUGUUGUUGGGGAAAAAGAGGAUGGUACCCAACAAGGAAGUGACGGCUAACUACGUUCCAGCAGCCGCGGUAAUCUGAGCGGGCUGGCAAGGC